AUCAAUGGCAAAACACGAGGCUGAGGGACUGAAACUUCUCUGUCUCCCUACCUUUGGAGUGUUCUAUGCUGUACGCUGACUUUUCCAAUCAAACUUGACCAAGUGUUGGGCUGGGAAAUCAGAAGUGCUCCUGGGAAAGCAUCAACUGGAGAGACUUCCACCCAUGUUGACUCCUGGGCAGAACGUUCACUCAGCAGACGGUAUAGUCCAGCUCAAGACACCCUGGUGGCUCUUGUCUGGUACGCAGCAUACAGAGGCUCUUCUGCAGGCCGCAGGGAAGUUCCUCUAGAACAAUAAAGCACAGUACGAUACUGCUGAACAAGCGUUAUCACCCCUGGAG
rnacentral:lncRNA from 1 species